rnacentral:rRNA from 1 species
ACGAGUGGCGGACGGGUGAGUAAUGUCUGGGAAACUGCCUGAUGGAGGGGGAUAACUACUGGAAACGGUAGCUAAUACCGCGUAACGUCGCAAGACCAAAGAGGGGGACCUUCGGGCCUCUUGCCAUCGGAUGUGCCCAGAUGGGAUUAGCUAGUAGGUGGGGUAACGGCUCACCUAGGCGACGAUCCCUAGUUGGUCUGAGAGGAUGACCAGCCACACUGGAACUGAGACACGGUCCAGACUCCUACGGGAGGCAGCAUG